ensembl:lncRNA
CGCAUGCAUUACACUCCUUGUCUACUCUCGUCAUUUACACUCUGCUAAUACUGACAUUUAGAAAAUCACCAACCUCUGUUAUCCAGCUACAGGCACUUCACCAAUCAUGAAAGAAGGAAUUUCACCAGGACUGCAGUCAGUGGGGCCGGGAGCGAUGCAUGUGACGGGAAGUUUAUUGAUGACCAAGAACAAAGUUGCCUUCACUUGUCUGCAAGGCAGAUCUCUUAACUGUGGUUGGAACAAGUCUUCUUAUUCACCUCCUAGCUGCUGUCAAGGCGUUAACUCUCUUGUUCAGGUCUGCUGGUUCGCAGAGAGCAUAUGCUGUGUCCACCAGUGUGAUACAUGUGCACCUUCCCCAGGAGCAGCCAGCAGAGCUGCUGUGCUCGUUGCACAGCACUGCACUGCACACAAUGGGAUCACCUGGCUUCUCCGUGCCGUCAUGGCAGCUUCCACAGCGCUUACUGCAAUGCUUCAUUGCUAUUUGAAGGAGUAUCCAUUUAGGAGCUAACAGUUCUAAUCCCAAACUUGCAGAUUAGGCAACUGAGCCUUUUUUUUUUUUUUUUUUUUUUUCAGACUGGCUUCAGACUUCUUAUAAUUUUUUUGUUUAAAGCAAGUUGAAGUGCUGUAUUGGAAUUGAAAGAUGAUAUUACAGUUCAAGGUCAUCACAGACUAAAUAAAACACAAAAUAUACCACAAAUAAUACAAGAUGACAUGCAAAGCUGUGAUUUGGGCUCUUCCUGGAGUAAGGAAAAAAAAAAAAGACCUUAAAUUGUUUUCUAUUACUAUUCAGAAUGCUAC